rnacentral:rRNA from 1 species
UGGGUGAUCUGCCCUGCACUGUGGGAUAAGCCUGGGAAACUGGGUCUAAUACCAUAUAGGACCGCACUUUGGAUGGUGUGGUGGAAAGCUUUUGCGGUGUGGGAUGAGCCUGCGGCCUAUCAGCUUGUUGGUGGGGUAAUGGCCUACCAAGGCGGCGACGGGUAUCCGGCCUGAGAGGGUGUACGGACACAUUGGGACUGAGAUACGGCCCAGACUCCUACGGGAGGCAGCAGUGGGGAAUAUUGCACAAUGGGCGCAAGCCUGAUGCAGCGACGCCGCGUGGGGGAUGAAGGCCUUCGGGUUGUAAACUCCUUUCGCUAUCGACGAAGCCACUUGUGGUGACGGUAGGUAGAUAAGAAGCACCGGCUAACUACGUGCCAGCAGCCGCGGUAAUACGUAGGGUGCAAGCGUUGUCCGGAAUUACUGGGCGUAAAGAGCUCGUAGGUGGUUUGUCGCGUCGUCUGUGAAAUCCCGGGGCUUAACUUCGGGCGUGCAGGCGAUACGGGCAUAACUUGAGUGCUGUAGGGGAGACUGGAAUUCCUGGUGUAGCGGUGAAAUGCGCAGAUAUCAGGAGGAACACCGAUGGCGAAGGCAGGUCUCUGGGCAGUUACUGACGCUGAGGAGCGAAAGCAUGGGUAGCGAACAGGAUUAGAUACCCUGGUAGUCCAUGCCGUAAACGGUGGGCGCUAGGUGUAGGGGGCUUCCACGUCUUCUGUGCCGUAGCUAACGCAUUAAGCGCCCCGCCUGGGGAGUACGGCCGCAAGGCUAAAACUCAAAGGAAUUGACGGGGGCCCGCACAAGCGGCGGAGCAUGUGGAUUAAUUCGAUGCAACGCGAAGAACCUUACCUGGGCUUGACAUAUACAGGAUCGGGCUAGAGAUAGUCUUUCCCUUGUGGUCUGUAUACAGGUGGUGCAUGGUUGUCGUCAGCUCGUGUCGUGAGAUGUUGGGUUAAGUCCCGCAACGAGCGCAACCCUUGUCUUAUGUUGCCAGCACGUUAUGGUGGGAACUCAUGAGAGACUGCCGGGGUUAACUCGGAGGAAGGUGGGGAUGACGUCAAAUCAUCAUGCCCCUUAUGUCCAGGGCUUCACACAUGCUACAAUGGUCGAUACAGUGGGCAGCGACAUCGUAAGGUGGAGCGAAUCCCUGAAAGUCGGCCUUAGUUCGGAUUGGGGUCUGCAACUCGACCCCAUGAAGUCGGAGUCGCUAGUAAUCGCAGAUCAGCAAC